AUUGAACGCUGGCGGCAGGCCUAACACAUGCAAGUCGAACGAGGGGCGGAGGGGUGAGUAAUGUCUGGGAAACUGCCCGAUGGAGGGGGAUAACUACUGGAAACGGUAGCUAAUACCGCAUUCCAUCGGAUGUGCCCAUAUGGGCUUAGCUAGUAGGUGGGGUAAAGGGUCACCUAGGCGGCGAUCCCUAGCUGGGCUGAGAGGAUGACCGGCCAAACUGCAACAGUGACACGGUCCAGCCGCCCAGGGGAGGACGCGGUGCAGAAGAUUGCGCAAUUGGAGAAAGCCUGAUGCCGCCAUGCCGCGUGUGUGAAGAAGGCCUUCGGGUUGUCAAGCACUUAAAGUGGGGAGGCGUUACCCGCAGAAGAAGCACCGGCUAACUCCGUGCCAGCAGCCGCGGUAAUUC
rnacentral:rRNA from 1 species